AGUCGAACGGCAGCACGGACUUCGGUCUGUGGCGAGUGGCGAAACGGGUGAGUAAUGUAUCGGAACGUGCCUAGUAGCGGGAUAAAUUACGCGAAAGGGAAGCAUUACCGCAUAGCCGCCCUUCGGGGAAAGCGGGGGACCUUCGGGCCUCGCACUAGAGCGGCCGAUAUCGGAUUAGCUAGCUGGUGGGGUAACGGCUCACCAAGGCGACGAUCCGUAGCUGGUUUGAGAGGACGACCAGCCACACUGGGACUGGAGACACGGCCCAGACUCCUACGGAGGCAGUGGGGAAUUUGGACAAUGGGAAACCUCGAUCCAGCCAUCCCGCGUGCGCGAUGAAGGCCUUCGGGUUGUAAAGCACUUUCUUGGCAGGAGAAGAAACGGCACGGGAUAAUACCCCGUGCAACUGACGGUACUUCCGCAGAAUAAGCACCGGCUAACUACGUGCCAGCAGCUGCGGUAAUACGUAGGGUGCAAGCGUUAAUCGGAAUUACUGGGCGUAAAGCGUGCGCAGGCGGUUCGGAAAGAAAGAUGUGAAAUCCCAGAGCUUAACUUUGGAACUGCAUUUUUAACUACCGAGCUAGAGUGUGUCAGAGGGAGGUGGAAUUCCGCGUGUAGCAGUGAAAUGCGUAGAUAUGCGGAGGAACACCGAUGGCGAAGGCAGCCUCCCUGGGAUAACACUGACGCUCAUGCACGAAAGCGUGGAGCAAACAGGAUUAGAUACCCGGUAGUCCAUUCCAAACGAUGUCAAUUAGCUGUUGGGGCCUUCGGGCCUUGCAGCGCAGCCAACGUGAAGUUGACCGCCCGGGAGUACGGUCGCAAGAUUAAAACUCAAAGGAAUUGACGGGACCGGCACGCGGUGGAUGAUGUGGACUACUCGAUGCAACAAGGAAACUUACCGACCUUUGACAUGUCUGAACCCGAAGAUUUCAGAGCAUUGCAACCGGAACGUUAGCUGCAUGACGUCGGUCAUUCAGUCGUGAAGAUGGUGCCGAGUCCGUAACGAGAACCCUUUACCGUUAGGUUGCUAUUUAGGGAAAGAGCACUCUAUUGACGCCAAGACAAACCCUGGUGAAGGUGGUUACGUUAAGCUCUCGCGGCCCUUAUGGGUAGGGCUUCACACGUCAUACAAUGGUCGGGACAGAGGCCGCCAACCCGCGAGGGGGAGCCAACUUCAGAAACCCGAUCGUAGUCCGGAUCGCAGUUCGCAACUCGACUGCGUGAAGUCGGAAUCGCUAGUAAUCGCGGAUCAGCAUGUCGCGGUGAAUACGUUCCCGGGUCUUGUACACCGCCCGUCACACAUGGGAGUGGGUUUUACCAGAAGUAGUUAGCUCAACCGUAAGUGAGGGCGAUUACCACGGUAGGAUUCAUGACUGGGGUGAAGUCGUAACAAGGUAA
rnacentral:rRNA from 1 species